CCUACGGGGGGCUGCAGUGGGGAAUCUUCCGCAAUGGGCGCAAGCCUGACGGAGCAACGCCGCGUGAGUGAAGAAGGCCUUCGGGUUGUAAAACUCUGUCUUCAGGGAAGAAAAAAAUGACGGUACCUGAGGAGGAAGCCCCGGCUAACUACGUGCCAGCAGCCGCGGUAAAACGUAGGGGGCGAGCGUUGUCCGGAAUUACUGGGCGUAAAGGGCGCGUAGGCGGUUAUCCAAGUCAGGGGUGAAAACUCUGGGCUCAACCCAGAGCGUGCCUUUGAAACUGGGUAACUUGAGGGCAGGAGAGGGGAGUGGAAUUCCCAGUGUAGCGGUGAAAUGCGUAGAUAUUGGGAGGAACACCAGUGGCGAAGGCGGCUCUCUGGCCUAACCCUGACGCUGAGGCGCGAAAGCGUGGGGAUCAAACAGGAUUAGAUACCCCAGUAGUC
rnacentral:rRNA from 1 species